rnacentral:rRNA from 1 species
GCCGCGANUAGCUCAUNNCANUAGCCGUUGUUUCUUGGAUCCUCAAUUUACUUGGAUACCUGUGGUAAUUCUAGAGCUAAUACAUGCGACUAAGGGCCGAACUCACGUGACGCUUGCAUUUAUUAGAUCAAGACUAACCGGCUUCGGCCGUUAACUUGGUGACUCUGAAUAACUCAGCUGAUCGCACGGUCUAGUGCCGGCGACAUAUCUUUCAAGUGUCUACCUUAUCAACUGUCGAUGGUAGUUUAUGUGACUACCAUGGUUGUAACGGGUAACGGAGAAUCAGGGUUUGACUCCGGAGAGGGAGCCUGAGAAACGGCUACCACUUCUAAGGAAGGCAGCAGGCGCGCAAAUUACACAAUCUCAGCACGAGGAUGUAGUGACGAAACAUACCGAGGCGAUGCCCUUUCGGGUGUCGUCAUUGGAAUGAGUCGAAUCUAAAAAAUUCGGCAAGGAUCUAGUGGAGGGCAAGUCUGGUGCCAGCAGCCGCGGUAAUUCCAGCUCCGCAAGUGUAUAUCUAUGCUGUUGCGGUUAAAAAGCUCGUAGUUUGAUUCGCGUACUUAGCACGCAGUGUGGCCUUUCGGCUACUACUGUGAUGCGGUACAUUAUCGUCAGUUUGUCGUUGAUGCUCUUCAUUGGGUGUCAGCGGCGGCUGUCAAGUUUACUUUGAACAAAUUAAAGUGCUCAAUACAGGCGUUUCGCUUGUAUAGUUCUGCAUGGAAUAAUAGAAUAGGACUUACGUUCUAUUGUGUUGGUUUUCAGAACGAAAGUAAUGAUUAAGAGGGACAGACGGGGUCAUUCGUACUGCCACGUUAGAGGUGAAAUUCUUGGAUCGUGGCAAGACGAACUACUGCGAAAGCAUUUGACAAGAAUGUUUUCAUUAAUCAAGAACGAAAGUUAUGGGUC